rnacentral:rRNA from 1 species
GAUGAACGCUGGCGGCGUGCCUAAUACAUGCCAGUCGAGCGAACGGACGAGAAGCUUGCUUCUCUGAUGUUAGCGGCGGACGGGUGAGUAACACGUGGAUAACCUACCUAUAAGACUGGGAUAACUUCGGGAAACCGUAGCUAAUACCGGAUAAUAUUUUGAACCGCAUGGUUCAAAAGUGAAAGACGGUCUUGCUGUCACUUAUAGAUGGAUCCGCGCUGCAUUAGCUAGUUGGUAAGGUAACGGCUUACCAAGGCAACGAUGCAUAGCCGACCUGAGAGGGUGAUCGGCCACACUGGAACUGAGACACGGUCCAGACUCCUACGGGAGGCAGCAGUAGGGAAUCUUCCGCAAUGGGCGAAAGCCUGACGGAGCAACGCCGCGUAAGUGAUGAAGGUCUUCGGAUCGUAAAACUCUGUUAUUAGGGAAGAACAUAUGUGUAAGUAACUGUGCACAUCUUGACGGUACCUAAUCAGAAAGCCACGGCUAACUACGUG